UGCGGUCUCGCAUGAAGUUCCCCUGCCGUGGCUUUCGAUGUGUCGAACCAGAAAAGGCACGAUCCAUACCAGUAAUCCACUGCGUUUCAAAAGAUAGAAGAUUAAAAUGUCAAAUCAACAUACGGUUCCGCGCGUAUAUCUACUCUUGUACCACCGUUGGUUGUAGCAGAAGACUUUGACUGCCUGACUCUCGGGAUCCGAUCCCUUGAUUGCCCUCGAUACUGCGUAUGAGUAACAGGAGGAAAGGGAAGGAGGCGUGGUGGAUCUCGUUCUACAAAUACAAAUGGCUGCCUGGGAAUUAUGACCUGAACAAGUUGUCCUCACUGGUUCUCCUCCCAAGAGAACUACAUUGCAUUCAAGUGCUGGGCACUGUUUACACAAGACUUCACGUCUGCUGCGUGAAAUGUGAUCGUUCACACGGCGUCAGCAACACAAAAACGUUCGAAUUUCACUCUGCAUUUUUUUUUUCUGUCAGGUGACCAUCCUUACCUGUCGUAGGACCUCCAGCUGUGAAAACCCUAUUCAUGUACACCGACCCAACAAUGCAAGGUCUUCAUUAUUUUUAUAUACACGACUACCUACUUUACAUUUACAUUGAGAGCUGACAACAACUGCCCUCAGAACAACCUUUAGACUCAUGCCUUCGGCUGUUCGCGCUAGGAAUGAAAAAAAGACAAAAAAAGAAAAGAGUAUAGAACUUGCACCAGUAUUCCUUUGUUCGGUCUGCGUUUCCAGGACUGUAAGUCCUUUUUACCCAGGAAGUCAUGUGACAAGAAAGGUAGGGCUAGCAGUGAGGUGUCUGUGGAGAGCAGACCAGCGCUUGGGAUUUUUAAAAAGUACAGAAUGAGUUCAUUAAAAGGAAGACUGAAACUGCGUCAAGAGGGAGAAAGAGAAAGGAAUUAAACUAAUCUAUAAUGUUCGUUAAUAAAUGUAUUGCAAAUUUGACAUCAACAUCGUUUUAGAGGAUGGCCUGUGAGGGAGAGACGGUCUGCGGAAUUUCCCCUUCACCAGAAACGGUUCUCCCACCCUUAAUCACCUCUUUCCCCAGAAAACAAAUUAUGUGAGACAUAAUUUAUUUUGAAAGAAAACCUACAUAGAUUUGCGUUCUUUUAUUUCACAUUUUUCUUGACAGCAGCCAUCUCUUUGUCAUCGUUUUCCCAUU